rnacentral:hammerhead_ribozyme from 15 species
AGGCAGUCGAGGCAGCAGUAGCUCUCCUGACGAGAGCUCGAAACUGCUG